rnacentral:lncRNA from 1 species
CUUUUUUGUUUUAUUAAUUUCAUUUCAUUACAAUCAUCUUAGAAUACAAAGACACAAGUACAAUGUUUGUGAAAAUAUAAAAAGAAAUAAUAACAAAUUAUUGGAUGCCAACACAAAUAACAAUUCAUUGAAAUUUAAUUUAAUUUUUAAGAGACCAUACAUAUGGCACUCUCUCUGCAAUACAAUCACAUACGCCUUUUUCGGAGAAAAAUGGCCACUUCUUACAAUAAGGUGAUUUAGGAGUUAAGCAUGUAACUUCUUGACAAUCAGAAUCUUCAGCACACAUACUUGCUGUGAUGAAAAAAAUAUAAAAUAAAAAAGUGUUAUUAAAAUGAGAUAAAAUAAUAUGUAGAAAGUAAAUAAGGAAAUUUGAGAAAGGCAAAAAAUGACAUACUAUCAAAGAUAAAUGCAUCAACAAAUAGAGAAAGACACAUGAUCAUAACAUAAACAAACUUAAUAAUUCCAACUAUAUUGUGACCCUUUUGCAUGUAAGAAAUAAAACAUAAUUUCAUCAUUUUAUAAUUUAAUAAGAUCGUUCUCACUUUAGAUACAUUAAAUAGUUUUAGCACUUAUAUAGAUUUGUAAAAAAACCUUCACAAAAUUAGAGUCAUUAUUAAACGUCUCUUUAAGUACAUCAAAGGGUUCAUUAUGUAUGUUAAGAAAGAUUAGUAAAACAACCACAUAAAAAAAUUAUUAUUAAAUAUCUUUUACGUGCAUCAAAGUGUUAUGUUUGUCAUUUUAACGCAUAUAAUAAAGAGGUCACCUCAAAAACUUACCAAUCAAAAUAAUUCAUUCUUAUUUUACAAAGUUUGCAUUAUUCUAUAACCUUUCAUGAGAAAGAAGGGGAAGUCACAAUUUUUUUGUGGAUUUCAUGUGAGCUUUGGGCAAUUGCUGAGCUAUAUCGCUACUAUAUGUUAGAUUUCAUAUUUAUUAAUAUUUCUUCAAGAGAGCAUAAAAAUUCAUGAUUAC